rnacentral:misc_RNA from 1 species
UGUUUAAUUUAUAGCAAUUUUGGAUGGCUAUGUUUAUGCUUCAAGCACACAGUCAGAUUAGAGAUCAUUGUCUUAAUAACAAAUUUUCUUCUACUUCAAAGUAGUCAAACUACUGGUGGUUGUAUGGUUUUUGUAGUCAUAGUCAUUUUUCCAAGGUUAUUUUAGUUAAUUCAGUUUCUUGUUUGCUAUCAUUUAAUUAUUGUGGGAUUAUGCUUUAACCUUUACGUUUAAUUUGAAAAUGUGAAAUUACAAGUUCAUUAGAUGUAUUUCACCUUUUAAGUUUAAUUAUUGCAAUCAUGUUUAAGAGUGGUAAUUUUUUGUCCUGCAUGGAUUCAUUUCUGCCAUUUUCUGGUACAGUUCACUACAUUAGAAAACAGGACAAAGAGACUGAGUUAUAGUUCCAAAGCAACAUGUAACCAGCUGUAAUUUACUAAAUGGUAUGUAUACUAUGAUUACUUGCUGCAUAAAAACCAUUGUUAGCCCUACAGUAAUCAUAAAUAUAAUGUUGAUGUAUUAAAUGUGUAUCUUCUCAGAGUAAUUCUCUCAUCUAAUGAGGUAGUUUUAAUCGCUGUAUGUCUUUCCCCUAAUUUUUAUGCACCAUAGCAUACUAAUUUUUUUAUAUAAAUAUGUUAACUACUCUCAUGCACCUUACCUUGAUUGUUACAGGUAAACUUUAUAUAUUGUUUGUUUAAAUCUUGUAGUCUGGAUGUUUAAUAUUUCAAAAAAGUUACUGUAUUUAUCAUUUUGAAUGUAACGUCCAUUAAUUCAUGCUUUCAUUUGUUGCUGAUUUACAUGAGUUUGAAGGAAAUAAAGUACAUACAUCACCGAU